AAAAAUUGAAUAUUGUAUAGCCGAAUAAAUUAAAACUAAAUACAUAUACAUCAAGAAACAUGUAAGUGGGAAACUAAUAUGAAGCUCUAAACGUUCAAACUUUACAGCUGCUUUGUAUACACAUCUGAAAUCUUUAAAUUUCAAGACUGUGAAAGUGAAAAACAAAGAUUAAACAAAACAAAACAAUGGUGUUAAAUUGGUCACAGAAAUGCGAAAAAGUCAGAGAUCAAGCUAUAAUUUAUACAUGAGAAUGAAUAACAACACUACCUUAUGGUUGUGGAAGCUAAAACGUAAGCUUUGCUGUUUUAGCUUUUGCUUGGACAUAUCUGAUCACUGAUCACAAAAAGUUUAAUAUCUCAAACAUCAAACUUCCAUCUAACUUUUAAACACACAAAAAAGCAGCUUCAGUACCAUAUCAGAGACUUGAAAGCUUACCAUAUCAGAGGGUCUACCACAUUCCAAGCGAAAAGACUCAAAAGCUCUAUUGCUCUGGCCUUUUUUGGGGUCAAGACAUAUCUUUUAUACCUGAUUUCAAUUUGAACAGUUUAAUGAAUUUUGAGAAGCAAGAAUGACAGAUGGAAAAAACUUCUGCUCAUUCAUUGACAGAUAUCUUAAUACCACUUACUUCAAAUCAAGACACAAACAUUCAAGCACGAGUUCAAAUGCAGAAAGCCUCGUCACAAUAUAAUAUGCAAACUGAUACUCGAGAAAAAUCAGGUUCAAGAGAGUAUAAAAGUCUAGUUUCACCUACACGGAAACAAAGUUCAUCCUAUUAUAAGAGACAAUAUUACGCAACGUAUACUUCAAUCAUCAGUUCUAUCACUGACUGGAACAACUACAUAACGAAAGAUGUUAAAACAGGAAAUCAGUGUUCACAUAGUCGCCACCAAUCAAGCACAAAGCACUACCUAGAAGUAGAACAUAGAGUUACCAAUGAAUCAAACAUCAAAUAAGAGGAAAAACGAAAUAAUAUGUGAUCAAUGAAUACAAAUAGAGAGAACUGCAGGUGCACACACACUCACAUAGAAGUCCAAGAAAUGCAAUUAGAAAAAAAAGAGUUGAGAAUUUGUGAUUACCUUCUGAAGAAACAUAUGAUUUAUAGAGUCAGGUUAGACUAAUGUUGUCUCUCUUAUCAGUUCACUUCCUGUUUCAACUGCUUCGUUCCCGUUGCUCUUCCUGGUCUUCAAAAGACCACGGAUUUUUCUGCAAUCCUUCUAUAUGCAUAUGCUCCGAUAUGACUGCAGGAAACAGUUUCCUUGUUUCAGUUAUACAUUGUGGCUGAAGGU
rnacentral:lncRNA from 1 species